UCAACUUGAGAGUUUGAUCCUGGCUCAGAACGAACGCUGGCGGCAGGCCUAACACAUGCAAGUCGAGCGCACCCUUCGGGGCGAGCGGCGGACGGGUUAGUAACGCGUGGGAACAUACCCCUUUCUACGGAAUAGCCUCGGGAAACUGAGAGUAAUACCGUAUAAGCCCUUCGGGGGAAAGAUUUAUCGGGAAGGGAUUGGCCCGCGUUAGAUUAGAUAGUUGGUGGGGUAAUGGCCUACCAAGUCUACGAUCUAUAGCUGGUUUUAGAGGAUGAUCAGCAACACUGGGACUGAGACA
rnacentral:rRNA from 1 species